rnacentral:tRNA from 1 species
GCCGGAAUAGCUCAGUUGGUAGAGCAGAGGACUGAAAC